UACAGAGGGGGCAAGCGUUAUUCGGAAUUAUUGGGCGUAAAGGGCGCGUAGGCGGCUUUGCAAGUGGCGGGUGAAAUCCCUCGGCUUAACCGAGGAACUGCCUGCCAGACUGUGAGGCUUGAGACCGGGAGAGGUGAGUGGAAUUCCCAGUGUAGCGGUGAAAUGCGCAGAUAUCAGGAGGAACACCGAUUGCGAAGGCAGCUCGCUGGAACGUUACUGACGCUGAGACGCGAAAGCGUGGGGAGCAAACAGG
rnacentral:rRNA from 1 species